AUUGAACGCUGGCGGCAUGCCUUACACAUGCAAGUCGAACGGCAGCACGGGAGCAAUCCUGGUGGCGAGUGGCGAACGGGUGAGUAAUAUAUCGGAACGUGCCCAGUCGUGGGGAUAACGUAGCGAAAGCUACGCUAAUACCGCAUACGAUCUACGGAUGAAAGCGGGGGAUCGCAAGACCUCGCGCGAUUGGAGCGGCCGAUAUCAGAUUAGGUAGUUGGUGAGGUAAAGGCUCACCAAGCCGACGAUCUGUAGCUGGUCUGAGAGGACGACCAGCCACACUGGGACUGAGACACGGCCCAGACUCCUACGGGAGGCAGCAGUGGGGAAUUUUGGACAAUGGGCGCAAGCCUGAUCCAGCAAUGCCGCGUGCAGGAUGAAGGCCUCGGUU
rnacentral:rRNA from 1 species